GUUUUAUCGCUUCCUUAUAUAUUACUGUCCAUCCUUCCCGCUUUUACAUGCACCUAUUUCCGCGAAAAAUUACUCAUAUCACAUAUGUGAAGCUACAUAUAAAUACUAGGACUUUACAAUCACGUGCGAGACAUAUGACCACCUGAUAGAGUCACACAUACGACAAAACAAUCCUAUUUUUACUGGCUCAUAUUUAUGAAUUCACAAUUGUAUGAAUCGUUAGAUCGAUUGUGAUCAACGUGGAUUUCUUAAUACGCUCUCGUUUGAUAUAAACGUAUGUUAAUGAAUACUGUAAGUGACAUUUUAGAGGGUCCUGAAGGGGUAAAAUGGGAACUGGGAUUUGCUUAUUUUUGGGUGGGAAAAUGGGAUUUCAUGCACUGGGACUGGGAUUC